AUCUACGGCCAUACCUAGGCGAAACACCAGUUCCCGUCCGAUCACUGCAGUUAAGCGUCUGAGGGCUCGUUAGUACUGCGGUUG
rnacentral:rRNA from 1 species